CCUACGGGAGGCAGCAGUGAGGAAUAUUGGUCAAUGGACGCAAGUCUGAACCAGCCAUGCCGCGUGCAGGAAGACGGCUCUCUGAGUUUUAAACUGCUUUUGUACGAGGAUAAACGCAGAUACGCGUAUCUGUCUGAAAGUAUCUUACGAAUAAGGAUCGGCUAACUCCGUGACAGCAGCCGCGGUCAUACGGAGGAUUCAAGCGUUAUCCGGAUUUAUUGGGUUUAAAGGGUGCGUAGGCUGUCGGAUCAGUUAGAGGUGAAAUCCCGAGGCUCAACUUCGGAAUUGCCUGUGAUACGGGUCGGCUAGAGAGUAGGUGCGGGAGGCGGAAUGGAAGGUGUAGCGGUGAAAUGCUUAGAGAUCAUACAGAACACCGAUUGCGAAGGCAGCUGACCAAGCUACUUCUGACGUUGAGGCACGAAAGCGUGGGGAGCAAACAGGAUUAGAUACCCCGGUAGUC
rnacentral:rRNA from 1 species